rnacentral:rRNA from 1 species
CCUACGGGAGGCAGCAGUGAGGAAUAUUGCGCAAUGGGGGCAACCCUGACGCAGCAACGCCGCGUGAGUGAGGAAGUACCUCGGUAUGUAAAGCCCUUUCGGCCGGGACGAAGAAGACGGUAACGCGUAAAGAAGCCCCGGACAACGUCGGACCAGCAGCCGCGGUAAUACGAGGGGGGCGAGCGUUUUUCGGAAUUAAUGGGGGUAAAGGGGGCGUAGGCGGGGGUGUAAGUUUGAAGGGAAAGGCCGUGGCUCAAACCCGGAACCGCUAUGGAAACUGUGAGGCUGGAGUGCUGGAGAGGUAAGCGGAAUACCUGGUGUAGCGGUGAAAUGCGUAGAUAUCAGGAAGAACACCGGUGGCGAAGGCGGCUUACUGGACAGUGACUGACGCUGAGGCUCGAAAGCGUGGGGAGCGAACAGGAUUAGAUACCCCUGUAGUC